ACCUCAUAAGACUACAGCAUCGCAUGGUGCAGUGGUAAAAAGGUUGGGAUCUUCGGACCUUCCGCCCAAGGAUGAGAUCGCGUCCUAUUAGCUUGUUGGUGAGGUAACGGCUCACCAAGGCAGCGAUGGGUAGCCGGCCUUAGCGGGUGGACGGCCACACUGGAACUGAGAGGCGGUCCAGACUCCUACGGGAGGCUGCAGUGCUGAAUUAUUCGCCAAUGCGCGAAAGCGUGACGGUGCGACGCCGCGUGCGGGACGAAGGCCCUAGGGUCGUAAACCGCUGUCAGGGCUUCGGAAACCGUAGAGGUUAAUAGCCUCUGCGCUGACCAGGCCCAAAGGAAGCACAGGCUAAUCUCGUGCCAGCAGCCGCGGUAAUACGAGAUGUGCGAGCGUUGUUCGGAAUUACUGGGCAUAAAGGGUGCGCAGGCGGCCAUGUAAGUCAGGUGUGAAAUCCCUCGGCUCAACCGGGGAAUUGCAUCUGAUACUGCAUGGCUUGAGAACGAAAGGGGCAAGCGGAAUUCCAGGUGUAGCGGUGGAAUGCGUAGAUAUCUGGGAGAACGCCAAUGGCGAAGGCAGCUUGCUGGGUCGUUUCUGACGCUCAUGCACGAAAGCUAGGGGAGCAAACAGGAUUAGAUACCCUGGUAGUCCUAGCUGUAAACGAUGGGUAAUAGCUUCCGGGAUUCCUGAUGAUUUCGGAACCGCAGUUAAUGCGUUAAGUACCCCGCCUGGGGAGUAUGGUCGCAAGGCUUAAACUCAAAGGUAUUGACGGGGGCUCACACAAGCGGUGGAGCAUGUUGUUCAAUUCGAAGCAACGCGAAGAUCCUUACCUGGGUUUGACAUGCAGGAAGUAGAACCCUGAAAGGGGAACCACCGGUAUCCAAUCCGGAACCUGCACAGGUGCUGCAUGGCUGUCGUCAGCUCGUGUCGUGAGACGUUGGGUUAAGUCCCGUAACGA
rnacentral:rRNA from 1 species